AGAGUUUGAUCCUGGCUCAGGAUGAACGCUGGCGGCGUGCUUAACACAUGCAAGUCGAACGAUGAUCCCAGCUUGCUGGGGGAUUAGUGGCGAACGGGUGAGUAACACGUGAGUAACCUGCCCUUAACUCUGGGAUAAGCCUGGGAAACUGGGUCUAAUACCGGAUAUGACUCCUCAUCGCAUGGUGGGGGGUGGAAAGCUUUAUUGUGGUUUUGGAUGGACUCGCGGCCUAUCAGCUUGUUGGUGAGGUAAUGGCUCACCAAGGCGACGACGGGUAGCCGGCCUGAGAGGGUGACCGGCCACACUGGGACUGAGACACGGCCCAGACUCCUACGGGAGGCAGCAGUGGGGAAUAUUGCACAAUGGGCGAAAGCCUGAUGCAGCGACGCCGCGUGAGGGAUGACGGCCUUCGGGUUGUAAACCUCUUUCAGUAGGGAAGAAGCGAAAGUGACGGUACCUGCAGAAGAAGCGCCGGCUAACUACGUGCCAGCAGCCGCGGUAAUACGUAGGGCGCAAGCGUUAUCCGGAAUUAUUGGGCGUAAAGAGCUCGUAGGCGGUUUGUCGCGUCUGCCGUGAAAGUCCGGGGCUCAACUCCGGAUCUGCGGUGGGUACGGGCAGACUAGAGUGAUGUAGGGGAGACUGGAAUUCCUGGUGUAGCGGUGAAAUGCGCAGAUAUCAGGAGGAACACCGAUGGCGAAGGCAGGUCUCUGGGCAUUAACUGACGCUGAGGAGCGAAAGCAUGGGGAGCGAACAGGAUUAGAUACCCUGGUAGUCCAUGCCGUAAACGUUGGGCACUAGGUGUGGGGGACAUUCCACGUUUUCCGCGCCGUAGCUAACGCAUUAAGUGCCCCGCCUGGGGAGUACGGCCGCAAGGCUAAAACUCAAAGGAAUUGACGG
rnacentral:rRNA from 2 species